GUGCUUACUUCAGCAGCACAUAUACUAAAACUUGAAAUGAAACAGAGAAGAUUAGCAUGGCCCCUGUGCAAGGAUGACAUGCAAAUUCAUGAAGAGUUCUAUAUUUUA